rnacentral:rRNA from 1 species
GACGGAGCAAGACCGCGUGGGGGAAGAAGGCUCUUGGGUUGUAAACCCCUUUUUCUCUGGGAAGAAAGUUGUGAAAGCAACCUGACGGUACCAGAGGAAUCAGCAUCGGCUAACUCCGUGCCAGCAGCCGCGGUAAGACGGAGGAUGCAAGCGUUAUCCGGAAUGAUUGGGCGUUAAACGCGUCCGCAGGUGGCAGUUCAAGUCUGCUGUCAAAGACCGGGGCUUAACUUCGGAAAGGCAGUGGAAACUGAACAGCUAGAGUAUGGUAGGGGCACGAGGGAAUUCCUGGUGUAGCGGUCGAAAUGCGUAGAGAUCAGGAAGAACAUCGAGUGGCGAAGGCGCUCUGCUGGACCAUAACUGACACUCGGGGACAAAGCUAGGGGACGCGAAUUGGGAUUAGAUACCCCGAGUACGUCCUAGCCGUAAACGAUGGAUCUAAGGUGUUGUCUGUAUCGACCCGGAUAGUGCCGUUAGCUUAAACGCGUUUAACGUACUCCCGGCCUGGGGAGUACCGGCAACGGCAAGGUCGUAGAAAACGUCAAAAGGGUAAUUCGGACGGGGGCCCACGACGAAGCGGUGGUAAG